CUGGGAUUGGCAUGGGCGCAGCCUGAUCCAGCAUGCCGCGUGUGUGAUGAAGGCCUUCGGGUUGUAAACCCCUUUUGGCCGGGACGAUAUUGACGGUACCCGUACCUUGAGCCCCGGCCAGUUUCGUGCCAGCAGCCCCCGUAAUAAUACAUCCCCCCCGCCGCUAUAAUA
rnacentral:rRNA from 1 species